rnacentral:rRNA from 1 species
UACGUAGGGUGCAAGCGUUGUCCGGAAUUAUUGGGCGUAAAGAGCUCGUAGGCGGUCUGUCGCGUCGGAUGUGAAAAUCCAGGGCUCAACCCUGGACCUGCAUUCGAUACGGGCAGACUAGAGUUCGGCAGGGGAGACUGGAAUUCCUGGUGUAGCGGUGAAAUGCGCAGUAUAUCAGGAGGAACACCGGUGGCGAAGGCGGCACUCUGGGCCGGUACUGACGCUGAGGAGCGAAAGCGUGGGGAGCGAACAGG